rnacentral:rRNA from 1 species
GAUCAUGGCUCAGGAUAAACGCUGGCGGCAUGCCUAAUACAUGCAAGUCGAACGGAGUUACCUUCGGGUAACUUAGUGGCGAACGGGUGAGUAACACGUAGGUAAUCCAUCCCAAGGACGAGGAUAGCUUCUGGAAACGGAAGGUAAAACUGGAUAGUUAAUUAAAGGGCAUCCUUUAGUUAUUAAAAGAGCAAUCUACCCUGGGAAGAGCCUGCGGCGCAUUAGCUAGUUGGUGAGGUAAUGGCCCACCAAGGCGAUGAUGCGUAGCCGGACUGAGAGGUCGACCGGCCACAUUGGGACUGAGACACGGCCCAGACUCCUACGGGAGGCAGCAGUAGGGAAUUUUCGGCAAUGGGCGGAAGCCUGACCGAGCAAUGCCGCGUGAAUGAUGAAGUAUUUCGGUAUGUAAAGUUCUUUUAACAGGGACGAAAAAACAAAUUGACGGUACCUGUUGAAUAAGCUCCGGCUAACUACGUGCCAGCCGCGGC